ensembl:lncRNA
GUGAUCAAAUUUAAUUACAUCUUAGGGUUUUUCCAAAUUACAGCUUAAAAAAAUAAUCAGUUUUUUCUUUUUUUACAAAGCUGUGUAUGUCACCAAGAAAGUUCACUCAUGCUGCCUCAGCGCCUUCCCAUCGCGAGCUGCAGCGAUGCAGCCUGCAGAACAUGACCUCUCAGAGAACUAUUAUGCGUUAUGGGUAGUAUUGCAUCACUCUCCCGAAAAAAGGAAUUCAUAAAAAUAAAAGCAUUUCCAAGUCAAAUGCAUGAAACGUUCCUCACGGGAGCUCUUCCAUAAACGCAGCUUUGGGGGAAUGCCCGUAAUUGCUCUAUUACAUAUUCUUACGCUUGGAAAACUGAUUUCUCAAUCUGAAAAUAAAUCAAUCUGGGCUUUUUUGAGCAGUAAGGAUAGGCAGGAAAUAUGUUGGCUUUUGACGACGGUAAUAACUUUUGCACAUAAGUAACUUCUAGGUCUCUAACGUUUGCUGAGAACGGCCUUUACCUUAAAGCACGACCGCGCUCCAGCCAAGGGGACAACGUGACACACAAAGGAGGUGACCCCGCAGCGCGACAGAUCUGAAUGCACGGAAUACAGAUGGAGUGUCUCUGAGGGAUGCGGUCUGAGGAAUCACAAGUGAAGUUGACGUGAACUUGACGCAGCACCAAGCAUUUCCAUCCAAAUUUCAGUGGAAAUUCCAAGCAAAGCAGGCCGGAGGGGAGGCACGGCAGCACCAACCUUGGGAAGAGCAACUAUGCAUAUCGGUGGUAGCACACAAAUGCUGCCCAGCCCCUUCCAGGAGCACCUGGAGAUGUUUCCAGAAGGCUCUGCACGGACACGGCAUGCUGCUCGACCAAACCUGCCUGUUGUGAAGCGGAUUGCUAACGCAAGCCAAGUUCAUGGAAGGAGAAGCACUUAUUUAGUGCAAUUUAGCAGUCACCUGUGUACCUGGGAAAUCUGCUCGGUGCUAAAGGUUUGUCUGAGCCCUGGUUCUGCGGGAAUAAAUGAGGACACGUGCUGGGCAAGAGCAGCAAGAGGCAACCAGACCUGUGCUGAGCUAACCCUCCUUCCACCCAGUGCCCAAGAAAUGUAUCUGUGAAGAACUACUCAUACAACUGUGCUCACCAGCAAAGCUUCAGGAAGGUGACCACCUGAGAAGCUGCUCCUAGUGCCUAGCUCACCAACCAGAGAUAAGAUGGACAGCAAACAAACGGAAAAUCAAAGCCCUAAACACAGAAACCUUGACGUGUUCAAGACAGAUAAAACCAGCCAAGGAAGUAGGUAUGCACGCGUUUCUUUUGUGUACUCAUACAGAAAUAUAUAAAUAGAUACGUAUGUAGACUUCCAAGAUUACCAUUUGAGCCAAUUCUCACAAGUUCAGAACUUGCAUAUGUGGUGCUACGUAUAUGGUUUGUCCGUGCUCUUUCACGUUCAUUUUUUAUGCCGUUGUUUCUACCGGGAUCCAAUCACAAAACUAGUUUCUGUUACAUUUCCUUGCUGUAUUUAAUGAGUUUAGAAAUAUAUAUUUUAAGGAUCGCAGUGUAGAAUCACAAACCAUUUGUGACUCAAUGUGAAUCACCACAGAAGUGUGGGUUUGGGACGAUGCUCGGGGCAUAACCCGCUCCGUGCUCUGAUGCUCCUGGCACAGCCACCUCUCUGCAAACCUCUUAUGCCAGAGGCUCUGCCACCCCAGUGUCAGCUUUUGCCAUCCUUGCCAUCAGAAACCUUUUUCCUAAUAUUUGAAAUGAAGCUUUCUAGCUACAAAUUAAGACCAAUUUGUACUCUCUCUGAUGCUGCUCAUAGAGAACAAAAUAUUUCCUUUAUUUUUCAUAUAUAAUUCAGAAGUAUCAUCGUGCUCCUUCCAGUCUCGUGUUUGGAACAUUCCUAAUUUGCUCCUUCCUCACAGGUCAGGCUUUCUUGACCCGUGAUCCUUCUCAUACAUCUACAUUUAAUGACUGUCUGGAAGUAGUGAUCAAAAAGGUUGGUUCCCUGUUCCUUGAAAAAGAAACUCAGUAUUACAUGGAAGAUGAAAUGGAGAAGACCUACUGUGGUAUACAAAAUGCGAAAAGAAGAUGUUUGCCUCAUUUUUUUUUUUUCUCUUGUACAACAUAAUGCUGCCUUAAUUAGGACAAGGAAAUGGGGGACGUAAGGGAUAGCCACACUAUUGGAUUUGCACUGCCCAUUUCCAUUGCAAAAAAUUGAUUUCCAGAAAGGCAGCAGCAUCCUUCCCCAGGACGGGAAUACAGGGCAACGUCCCCCCAGCAGUCAGCUUGGAGCCGAGGGCUGAGCUGCACUCAGGGCACUUCUGCUGGUUCCGUCUCUCUCAAUUUAAUAACAUCAGCGUGAUAAAAAUAAUAUCUUAAGAGCAUGCUAAUGUGUUAAUGCAUCCUGUGCUAGAAGCCCAAGCAUUAUGGCUCGUGGUUUUACAUGUUAAAAAAGGUCCAAGAGUUUAAGAUCAGGCUCUUUCGAUGUUUCUAGACUUACAUUAGUGCACGGCUUCCCUUACACGUAACUGAAACCAAAGUGAGUCAGCUCAUCUUGGACUUCACAGCAGAGCCCACUGAGGAUGAAAGAUCACCUCUUGUUAACAGCUAGGGGCUACCAGAAGACCUGUGUCAGCAGCAGCAAAAAGGAAAGAGAGCGAGGCGUGCAGGAGCAGAGCAAGGAUCCUUCUCACCACCUCUUCCACGACUGCUUGUUGAACUGCUUCCUCUAAGAGAUUAAGAUGACGAUCCGUCCUGCUGCCUCCGAGCUGGGAGAUAAGGUCUAUCUCUGCGUCCCAACUGUCCUCGCUGGGGAACAGCGAGGAGCGGUGCUGACAGGAGUGCAGCAAGGGAGGAGAGGGGGAGAGCAGCGAACAGCAAAUGGAAAAUUCUGGCACUGCGGGGCUGAGCCGGAGUGUUACUGCUGACAUCACUGAAAGUAGGAUCAAACCUGAUCUAAAAAGCAAUUUGGAAUAUGAGCUUUUCUUUCCAAAUGAGCGGUAAGUGCCUUCCUUCACACGGAAUCCGGUGCAGUAAUAGUGGCUUCUAUUACACUUGAAAUUGAUUGGCUUUAUGGCCCAGAACUGGGGAAUUGCCCUAGCCUGAUCUCGGCGGGCUCAUGUUUCUAAUUCUGGCAACUCUAAAUCCGGAUGCCCUGAAAAUCCGUGCUGUUGCUUACAGCGUGUGCUGCUAUCUCCAUUUUCAUGUGUCCAGGAAAAAUAAAGGAGCCGGGGUGCACA